AGGUUACUGCUAUCGAGGUCCGACCAAGCCAUGCGAGUCGAAUGUAGCAAUACAUGGCGUACUGCUCAGUAACACGUGGACAACCUACCCUCAGCACGGGGAUAAACCCGGGAAACUGGGUAUAAUACCCGAUAGUUCUGGAUUGCUGGAAUGCAUUCAGGACGAAAGCUCCGGCGACCGAGGAUGGGUCUGCGGCCUAUCAGGUAGUAGUGGGUGUAAUGUACCUACUAGCCUACGACGGGUACGGGUCGUGAGAGCGAGAGCCCGGAGAUGGAUUCUGAGACACGAAUCCAGGCCCUACGGGGUGCAGCAGGCGCGAAAACUUUACAAUGCUGGCAACAGCGAUAAGGGGACCUCGAGUGCCAGGAUACAAUCUUGGCUGUCGUAAUGCCUAAAAAGCAUUAUAUAGCAAGGGCCGGGCAAGACCGGUGCCAGCCGCCGCGGUAACACCGGCGGCUCGAGUGGUAACCGCUAUUAUUGGGUCUAAAGGGUCUGUAGCCGGCCGGAUAAGUCUUUUGGGAAAUCCAGCUGCUCAACAGUUGGGCUUUCAGAAGAUACUGUUCGGCUCGAGGCCGGGAGAGGUGAGAGGUACUUCAGGGGUAGGGGUGAAAUCUUGUAAUCCUUGAAGGACCACCAGUGGCGAAGGCGUCUCACCAGAACGGUCCUGACGGCAAGGGACGAAAGCUAGGGGCACGAACCGGAUUAGAUACCCGGGUAGUCCUAGCCGUAAACGAUACUCGCUAGGUGUCAGCCACGGUGCGACCGUGGUUGGUGCCGUAGGGAAGCCGUGAAGCGAGCCACCUGGGAAGUACGGCCGCAAGGCUGAAACUUAAAGGAAUUGGCGGGGGAGCACUACAACGGGUGGAGCCUGCGGUUC
rnacentral:rRNA from 1 species